GAUGAACGCUGGCGGCAUGCCUAAGCCAUGGCAAGUCGAACGAGGUGGCCCAUUGAAGGAUGCGUGGCUUGCACAAAUCUGGAUUUGGAUUCCCACCUAGUGGCAGACGGGUGAGUCACACGUGGGUUACCUACCUUUAAGCUGGGGAUAACAGUUAGAAAUGAUUGCUAAUACCGAAUAAGAAUAUAAGAAGUCGAUCUUAUAUUGAAAGAAGCCUUUAAAGCUUCACUUAGAGAUGGGCCUGCGGCGUAUUAACUAGUUGGUGGGGUAAUGGCCUACCAAGGUGACGAUGCGUAGCCGAACUGAGAGGGUUGAUCGGCCACACUGGGACUGAGACACGGCCCAGACUCCUACGGGAGACAGCAGUAGGGAAUAUUCGUCAUGGGGGGAAACCCUGAACGAGCAAUGCCGCGUGAGUGAUGAAGGUCUUUGGAUUGUAAAACUCUGUUGUAUGGAAAAAACGACUAGGUUAGGAAAUGAACUUAGUGUGAUGGUACCAUACCAGAAAGCCCCGGCUAACUACGUGCCAGCAGCCGCGGUAAUACGUAGGGGGCGAGCGUUAUCCGGAUUUAUUGGGCGUAAAGCGUGCGUAGGCGGUUUAUUAAGUUUAAGAUAAAAGCCCGGGGCUUAACUCCGGUUCGUCUUAAAGACUGGUAGGCUUGAGUGUGGUAGAGGUAAAUGGAAUUUCUAGUGUAGCGGUGAAAUGCGUAGAUAUUAGAAGGAACACCAGUGGCGAAGGCGAUUUACUGGGCCAUAACUGACGCUGAGGCACGAAAGCGUGGGGAGCAAAUA
rnacentral:rRNA from 1 species